AGGUGUAUAUCAUAUACGGAUGGUAGAAGGCUACACUUGUUUCCAUAUCUAAAAAAGGACCAAUGGAUAGUAUCUGAACUGAAGACAUAUGCACAGAGCGUGUCACUGUGUAAUUCUCAAAAACAAAAAGUAUAUAAAUUGUGAACCUAAGAGCACACAGCAGAACACAGAAGAAAGCGAGAAGAUGGACGUUUCCUGAAACAGUCGGCGAAGCCGCAGCCGGUUGAUCUUUGUUCCGUCCCAUGCAUGCUGCUGCCGAGUGCCGAGAGUAGCUACCUAACUAUGAUGCUCUCCUACAUAUUACAUAAUAACAUGUUGUACUCCAUUAGCAUAGACGACGCAGGAUGGCAGCUGGCUACUAAACACAUUUCAUUUGUUAAUGGAAACAUGGCAUCAGAAUGUCAGCCCACCGGAUCGUUUUCUUAAGAUCGAGGAGGUACCUUGCGCGUUACUACGAGAGUCUGGGCACGCACUUGGCAGCUCUCUUCAUCCUAAGCUGAAGAUUUCACGUCGGUGGCGAUGAUGACAUGCGAAAUGGCUGUACAGAACAUGCAUGAUGCGAAAUGGCAGUAGUAGCUCGCCUCAGUCAUGGCAACAUAAGAGCCUGACGAGGCACCACCGGAUGAUGUACAGCCUCGCGCGGCAUUCCUUGAGAGCUCUAACGGGUUUCCUGUUCCUGCAUCCCCUUUCCUUGCUGCUCCUCUUCCCUGCCCUCAUGCUUGAUGUUCCUAUAUACAGAGUUACGGACUACACAAACACUUGAACAGUAGCAAGUAAACAGUGGAUGGCGACGAUGUGUACGUGGAUGCUCA
rnacentral:lncRNA from 1 species